rnacentral:rRNA from 1 species
CAGUCGCCGCGGUAAUACGUAGGUGGCAAGCGUUGUCCGGAAGUAUUGGGCGUAAAGGGCUCGCAGGCGGUUUCUUAAGUCUGAUGUGAAAGCCCCCGGCUCAACCGGGGAGGGUCAUUGGAAACUGGGAAACUUGAGUGCAGAAGAGGAGAGUGGAAUUCCACGUGUAGCGGUGAGAUGCGUAGAGAUGUGGAGGAACACCAGUGGCGAAGGCGACUCUCUGGUCUGUAACUGACGCUGAGGAGCGAAAGCGUGGGAAGCGAACAGGAUUAGAUACCCGUGUAGUCCCUGUCUCUUAUAU